GUCAAAUAAUUAUUGUCGUAAGAAAAUCCUUUACUAUUAAUAUGAUGAAAGGUAAUCUAUAAAAAAUAUUACUACAAUUUUUCAUAUUGAUAGUUAUUUUUUAUCAUAAUAAUAAUUGCUUUGAAAUAAAUAAAAUAAAAUAAAUAUUGUAAAAAAAGAAGAAUAGAAAUAAAAAAAUGAAAUAGAAAAAAAUGAAAAAGAAACGAGCAAAAAAUGAAAACAAAAACGAAAAAGAAGCUCAAGUUCUAUUUCCUUUAUUUCUUUUUUUCC
rnacentral:lncRNA from 1 species